rnacentral:rRNA from 1 species
UACGAAGGGGGCUAGCGUUGCUCGGAAUCACUGGGCGUAAAGGGUGCGUAGGCGGGCUUUUAAGUCAGAGGUGAAAUCCUGGAGCUCAACUCCAGAACUGCCUUUGAUACUGAAAGGCUUGAGUAUGGGAGAGGUGAGUGGAACUGCGAGUGUAGAGGUGAAAUUCGUAGAUAUUCGCAAGAACACCAGUGGCGAAGGCGGCUCACUGGCCCAUUACUGACGCUGAGGCACGAAAGCGUGGGGAGCAAACAGG